CUCCGCACUCCUACGGGAGGCAGCAGUGGGGAAUAUUGCACAAUGGGCGCAAGCCUGAUGCAGCCAUGCCGCGUGUAUGAAGAAGGCCUUCGGGUUGUAAAGUACUUUCAGCAGUGAGGAAGGUGGGUAUGUUAAUAGCAUACUCAUUUGACGUUAGCUGCAGAAGAAGCACCGGCUAACUCCGUGCCAGCAGCCGCGGUAAUACGGAGGGUGCGAGCGUUAAUCGGAAUUACUGGGCGUAAAGCGCAUGCAGGUGGUUUGUUAAGUCAGAUGUGAAAGCCCGGGGCUCAACCUCGGAAUUGCAUUUGAAACUGGCAAACUAGAGUACUGUAGAGGGGGUAGAAUUUCAGGUGUAGCGGUGAAAUGCGUAGAGAUCUGAAGGAAUACCGGUGGCGAAGGCGGCCCCCUGGACAGAUACUGACACUCAGAUGCGAAAGCGUGGGGAGCAAACAGGAUUAGAUACCCUGGUAG
rnacentral:rRNA from 1 species